GAAAUACUACUCAGUAAUAAAAUGAACAAAACAUGCAACAACAUGAACGAAUCUCAAAAUAAUCAUACUAAGUGAAAGAAGCAAGAUAAUAAAAGAGUAAAUACUAUAUGAUUACAUUUACUUAAAAUUGUAGGUAAUAUAGGGACAGAAAAUCAAUAGUUUACUAGAGAUGGGGGCAGUGAUAUGGAGAGAAGUGAAAUGGAAGAAUUACAAGGAGGCAAAAAGAAACUUAUGGGGGGCAAUGAAUAGAUUUAUUAUUUUAAUUGUGAUGAUGGUUUCAUGAGUUUAUGCAUAUAUUUAACUUAUCAAAUUAUAAACUUUAAUUAUGUGCAGUAAACUUUAAAUAUUGUAUGUAAGUUAAACCUCAAUAAAUCUAUUUUUAAAUAGAGAGAUCUGAUAUUUCCCAUUGAGGGUGUUUCCUUAUUCUUUCCUAGUUAGUAAAACACUGACAUUGAGGAUAAUCAAAAUUGGCAUUAAUGAUGGAAGCAUAUCAUCAUGCAAGAUCCCUGACAAAUGGCUACUCUAAGGAAUCCUGCUUUCUUGAAAGGUUGAUGCUGGAAAAAGGUUUCUGGUAUACUGCUAACCUCUCACCAAGCCUUACUGAAUCCUACUACAUGCUAAGGAAAUGCUGGGAAAAGUGACGAGUCAACUAAAUUUGCAAAGUCCUUUGUACUGCAACAAAGAUAAAGCAUUGAUCUAUACAUAGUGUCCAUUGUGCCAGUCACCUUUGGCAUCUCAUCCAGCAAAGAAUGGAAAGAACCAGGAAAGAAGAGAAUACCAGCAAUGCUUCUGGUGUGCCAUUCUAGAGGAAAAUGUGAAAUCUGUG
rnacentral:lncRNA from 1 species